UCAUGCAACUCUCUUUAGAUUAUUUUAUCUAUCAUUCAGUUAUGUCGGCGAUGGCGUGGGUAAUUUUCUCUGAGUAAGGCGUCGUUCAUUUUGUCAUGUACUUAUUUUGCAUUUGUUUUCUUCUUUAGAUUUACUUUCCCAAUCACUUUUGGGUUUCUCUUUCAUUUUUGAAUAUAUUUUUUCGAUUAGCUUCUCCAUUCAAAUAUUUGUUAAAUAACUGAUUUUUGUAUUUCUCCAUUUUCUAGAUGUAGUUGUGAUAUUCAGUUCAAUUUUUGUCUUUCUCUUUUUAGAUCUAGUUGUGAUAUACUUUUUGCGUUUCUCUUGACAUGAAAACUAAUUUGUAUGAUUCAUUCCAAAAAAGUGGCACAAUUAAUUAUUUCAACAAAAAAAUCCUAGCCUUGUAGUACUUGUUUCAUCAAAUCCAAUUACAAUUCAUGAACAAAAUUUGAAUCAAAUGAGUAAAAUAACACAAAAUCUCACUGAUCUAAGUUAGAUCUAACUAAUGCCUAGACUAAAUCUUAAGUUUCUUCAUUUUCUUUGUUGAUCUCGAACUAGAUCUCACAUAUCACGGUCAUAUCUACAAAUUUUCAAUAGAAAUAAUGGAGACGAUAGUGCGACCGUGGCAACAGAUUGUGGAGUUCACCAGAUUUUGGAGAGGCAUAUGGUGUUUUCAUCGGGUUAGAAUGAGGCAUAAGCCGUCAAUGGCGGUGAAUUAUAGAAGAUGAUGACUUGGCACAUGUGGUGACAGCGACGUCAUCGAAUUUUCAGAGGAUGACAACGACGUUCGUUAGGGGAGAGAGAGAGAGAAAGAAAAGGGGA
rnacentral:lncRNA from 1 species